AGCUGAUCUGAAUGUCCCCAGAUGUCCCCAGGAUUAUUUCCGCUGAUCUGGCUGGUUAGGCCUCCCUCCCUCCCUCACUGCUCCACGUGUGUCCCUCCUAAAGCUGUGUGCUCCCUUCCCCAAACAGAGGAGGACCAACCGUCUGUCAAGGGCGAGCCAGUAAGUACAUGGCCCUGCUAGGCUCUCCUGUGCGUUGUUACCAAUCAACAUAGCUGACACGGUCACAGGAAAGAUGU
rnacentral:snRNA from 1 species